CCUACGGGAGGCAGCAGUGAGGAAUAUUGGUCAAUGGGCUUACGCCUGAACCAGCCAAGUCGCGUGAGGGAAGACUGCCCUAUGGGUUGUAAACCUCUUUUGUCAGGGAGCAACGCCGGCUACGUGUAGCCGGACUGAGAGUACCUGAAGAAAAAGCAUCGGCUAACUCCGUGCCAGCAGCCGCGGUAAUACGGAGGAUGCGAGCGUUAUCCGGAUUGAUUGGGUUUAAAGGGUGCGUAGGCGGAAUGCCAAGUCAGCGGUAAAAUCGCGGGGCUCAACCUCGCUCCGCCGUUGAAACUGGCGUUCUUGAGUGGGCGAGAAGUAUGCGGAAUGCGUGGUGUAGCGGUGAAAUGCAUAGAUAUCACGCAGAAAUCCGAUUGCGAAGGCAGCAUACCGGCGCCCAACUGACGCUGAAGCACGAAAGCGUGGGUAUCGAACAGGAUUAGAUACCCUAGUAGUC
rnacentral:rRNA from 1 species